CGUAUGUAGUUUUUUAAUGAACACUUUAGAAAGACUUUUAUUUAAAAAUGAAGGGAGUAUGUUUUUUUGAGAAAUUGGACAGUUUGGAUUGAGAUUUCCAUAUAGAAAACCACCGACGGAAACGGCGACUGCCCUCGCGCACGUGGCCACGCGGCCGCCGCCGCCUUGAUCUCCUCGCUUCGGCCUGCCCCACGUCUGGCGAGCCCUGAUCCGGCACCCCCGUGACGCGCUCUCUCCUCUCCUCUAGUUUUCCUCUCUGCUUGUUCACCCGCCAUGGCUCCCCACGCUCCGGCAUCCACGGCCAUCGCGACCUCUCUUGCAGCUCUUGCCGAGUCCUCCCCACUUCGUCGACGGGAGCCGUUCCGGCAUCCUUGUC
rnacentral:lncRNA from 1 species